UACGGGGGGGGCAAGCGUUGUUCGGAAUUACUGGGCGUAAAGGGCUCGUAGGUGGCCAACUAAGUCAGACGUGAAAUCCCCCGGCUUAACCGGGGAAUGGCGUCCGAUACUGGAUGGCUUGAAUUCGGGAGAGGGAUGCAGAAUUCCAGGUGUAGCGGUGAAAUGCGUAGAUAUCUGGAGGAAUACCGGUGGCGAAGGCGGCAUCCUGGACCGACAUUGACGCUGAGGAGCGAAAGCCAGGGGAGCAAACGGG
rnacentral:rRNA from 1 species